UACGGGGGGGGCAAGCGUUGUUCGGAAUUACUGGGCGUAAAGGGCUCGUAGGCGGCCAACUAAGUCGGACGUGAAAUCCCCAGGCUCAACCUGGGAACUGCGUCCGAUACUGGAUGGCUUGAAUCCGGGAGAGGGAUGCAGAAUUCCAGGUGUAGCGGUGAAAUGCGUAGAUAUCUGGAGGAAUACCGGUGGCGAAGGCGGCAUCCUGGACCGGCAUCGACGCUGAGGAGCGAAAGCCAGGGGAGCAAACGGG
rnacentral:rRNA from 1 species